ensembl:lncRNA
UAUUUUUUAGACUUGUAGUGAUGGAAAUAAUUAUUUGGUGUAGUCAAUUACCAUACAUAAUGUUGCAUAUUAAUGUUGCAUACAUAAUGUUGCAAAUUAAAUUUUCCAAAUUCAGAAAAUAAAAAUAAAAUUGAAUUUAAUUCGUAAAGGACCAUGAUAGUAAGAAAUGAGAUGGGAGCAAGAUUUAUUUCAGUGCUUUAUUGGGGGGGAUAUAAUAGUUUUGCAAAUGUUUUGUGAGCAAACAAAGGUUGUCAGGGAAACAAUACUUUUGUAACAGAACUCAAACAGUUUGGAAAGCACCUGCCAAAGCACUGAAAUAUCUUCAUCACAAUGUCCCCUUAGUGGCUCCAUAAUUUGCCUAAAAGCAUAUGAAAUUAAUGAUGAUUUUAUAUAUAUAAAAUAUGUAGUAUAAUAAUAGUGUGUAUAAAGAGAGACAUAUGUAAUGUAUUUGAAUUAUUUUCAUGUUCUUAGUUGCUGCUCUGUCUCUUACUUUUUUUCUCCUUUUCACUCUCUCUCUCAAUCCAUCUUCUUGUCUAUACUGUUAGCCAACCUGUUGUAGCUCUUCCACACCCCCCAAACUUUCUCCUUCAGAGGUAUUUGCUUCAUUCAUUCACUUUCUCUCACAUACCCUUUUACACAACCCUUUCUAGGCUGUCUUGAAUUCUCAUCCCCCUCAUCCUGGGACAUUGCACUACAGCGUGUGGACUCCCGUAACCUGGAUUGGAUUGGAUUAUUACCUGAUGGCUCAUCAACAGGACCGGGUCUGUUUCAAGCAGCCAGCAGUUUUGCUUUUGAGAGGAGGACCAUGGUACAGGGUACAGUGGGAGAGAUAAAAGGGAGAGAGUGUAGCAGCUAUUCCAAAGAAGAGGAUCUGCCGGGAAAGAGAUAAGAGGGGAGGACAGGGAACGAAAGAGAGAGUUGGAGGACGAGAAAGAGAGAGAGAAAAUGGGAUAUUGCGGCAUGUGGAUCUUCCUCUUGUCCCUGUCUCUCUUCUAUCAAAGCACCACUGCAGAGGCUGAAGUAUGUCGUACAGCCAUGCCUGCUGAUAUUGUGUUCCUGGUGGAUGAUUCCUGGUCAGUGGGUCUAACCAGCUUGCAGCAGAUCAAAGAGUUCAUAGCGGACAUCAUCCGAGGCUUUCAGGGAAGUGUGGUUGGAAGGAAGGCAUUCGCUUUGGAGUUACUGUCUAUUCUGACUUGCCCAGAUUGCUGUUCUGAUCACUAAUGGCCAAUCAGAUGAUCCAGUGGACAGUCCAGCUAAAGCUGUAACAGACAGUGGAAUUUCCCUGUUUGCUGUGGGUGAGUUGAAAACUUGGUGUUCUUCAUGUCAGAAGUGUUUGUGUUGUAGUCUAAACGGGCAUGACACGUCUGUGUGCACUUCUUCAUGUUUUGACGUGUGGUUCAGAGUAACUAUAGUGAAUAGUACAAUGCAGCAAGACAUAGAAUGUGUAUCAGAGCCGAUCCUCCCUAUACACAAAAUACGCAAGCUGCAUAUGGCCCCUGAAACACCAGGGGGCCCCCUUGCUUUAAAAGAUUAUUUAAUUUUAGUUUUGUUUUUGAAUUUGGCCAGCAGUUAUGAAAACGAUCAUUUGAAAAAUUAUAAUUUCUUUUAAUGCGGUGUGCUGUCGCCCUUUCUACGUAAAAAUCAGUUAAAUCAUGUAAUGUGAAUGUCAUACAGUCUUGCUCGGGACUAAAAAAACGAGUUGAAAGAGUUCCGAGCCACAGAAGAGACACUGCUUCUUAAGCGCUUUCCGCGAGCGCGAUUCGAGACGGAGUGAAACAUGGACAAAUGCGUUUCAUUCAUUCGUUCAUAACCACUCAUAACCCACUCCAUGUUUGCGUAGGGCCCCCUGAAGUAUAGGAUGGGCUCUGAUGUGUAUGUUUAUGUGUGUGUCAGCCUUGUUUCCUUUCUCGCGCUCUUUCUGUUUUGACGCCCAGAGUGCUGAAAUAAUUAUGGUUCAUUACCCGGUGGCUGACUAAUUGCUGUAAUUUUUCAUCAAACUCAUUCCUCCUGGCCCCCNCACACACACACACACACACACACACACACACACACACACACACACACACACACACACACACACACACACACACACACACAAACACACACUCACUGACACUGUUUCCUGCCUUUCUAAUCAGUUUUCCCAGAGACACGUGAAUAUAUCUGGCCGUUUGACACAUC